UACGGAGGGAGCUAGCGUUGUUCGGAAUUACUGGGCGUAAAGCGCACGUAGGCGGCUUUGUAAGUUAGAGGUGAAAGCCUGGAGCUCAACUCCAGAACUGCCUUUAAUACUGCAUGGCUUGAAUCCAGGAGAGGUGAGUGGAAUUCCGAGUGUAGAGGUGAAAUUCGUAGAUAUUCGGAAGAACACCAGUGGCGAAGGCGGCUCACUGGACUGGUAUUGACGCUGAGGUGCGAAAGCGUGGGGAGCAAACAGG
rnacentral:rRNA from 1 species